rnacentral:pre_miRNA from 1 species
AAAGUAAUCCCUCCGUCCCAAAAUUCUUGUCUUAGAUUUGUCUAGAUACGGAUGUAUCAAGUCACAUUUUAGUAUUAGAUACAUCCGUAUCUAGACAAAUCUAAGACAAGAAAUUUGGGACAGAGGGAGUAGUUG